UGGGGAAUCUUGGACAAUGGGGGAAACCCUGAUCCAGCCAUGCCGCGUGAUCGAUGAAGGCCUUAGGGUUGUAAAGAUCUUUCAGCUGGGAAGAUAAUGACUGUACCAGCAGAAGAAGCCCCGGCUAACUCCGUGCCAGCAGCCGCGGUAAUACGGAGGGGGCUAGCGUUGUUCGGAAUUACUGGGCGUAAAGCGCACGUAGGCGGAUCAGUCAGUCAGGGGUGAAAUCCCGGGGAUCAACCCCGGAACUGCCUUUGAUACUGCUGGUCUUGAGGUCGAGAGAGGUGAGUGGAAUACCGAGUGUAGAGGUGAAAAACGUAGAUAUUCGGAGGAACACCAGUGGCGAAGGCGGCUCACUGGGUCGAUACUGACGCUGAGGUGCGAAAGCGUGGGGAGCAAACAGG
rnacentral:rRNA from 1 species